UUGAGUUAUUCCCAGUUGGCCUACACAGCUAGUGUUCUCUCACCGUGAUCUUGGCUUGUUUUGUCAUUUUUGGAUGAGAAAAUACAGUCCACAAAUUUCUCAUUUGUAAUAGUUUAUCUUGGGGAACAAAGAGAGGGGUAGCCAGUGGUCUUGUGGGUCAUCUCUUUGCUCAUGUAGUGUCGAUGAUAGGAAAAAGCAGACCUUUUGUGUCUAUGUGAUUUGAGGACAGACCUCGAACAAUACAAAUUAAGGUGACUCUGGAUUUGAACAUGCGGAUGAUUAGGCGGAAUUGGAGAUCUUACCCUCUUGUUUGCAGUGGACAUUAUUGUGUUUAGGGGUGGCCUGUCAAUUGCUUGGAAGUGAACCUCCCCGGUGCUACCAAAGAAAGUGGGGUUCUUUCCCCGUCGAUGUAGCUGAGAGUCCGGGCAGCCUGGGCUUGCUCCUCAGUGUCAGUGAAGUUAAGAUUGCCUCAGUGGGGCGGGGCCGGACAUGCUGCUGACCUCACCACUGGGCACCCCAGGCGGCCACGGUGAGGGCUCGUCAUUUUCGGGUUGGUGAGACACAGCGGCGGUCGACCUGGAAGACGCGCUGGUGGUAGAGGGAAACUAUGGUGGUGAAGGUAGUUAGAAUGAAAGGAAAGCUGGAUUCAGGAAAAUGAUCGUUUACCUGUGUUGGAAAGGAUAAUCUACUGCCACCUGCCUCCUCCUUAAAGACCUCUGUGCCUUUAAAACUUUUAUUAUAAGAAUUUUCAAAUAUGCAGAAAAAUAAGAAAGGGGAUAAAGAGCACCGUAUA